UACGUAGGGUGCGAGCGUUGUCCGGAAUUAUUGGGCGUAAAGAGCUUGUAGGCGGUUUGUCGCGUCUGCUGUGAAAGUCCGGGGCUCAACUCCGGAUCUGCGGUGGGUACGGGCAGACUAGAGUGAUGUAGGGGAGACUGGAAUUCCUGGUGUAGCGGUGAAAUGCGCAGAUAUCAGGAGGAACACCGGUGGCGAAGGCGGGACUCUGGGCCGAUACUGACGCUGAGGAGCGAAAGCGUGGGGAGCAAACAGG
rnacentral:rRNA from 1 species